rnacentral:rRNA from 1 species
GACGAACGCUGGCGGCGUGCUUAACACAUGCAAGUCGAACGGAAAGGCCCCUUUGGGGGUACUCGAGUGGCGAACGGGUGAGUAACACGUGAGUAACCUGCCCUUGACUUCGGGAUAACUUCAGGAAACUGGGGCUAAUACCGGAUAGGAAUCCUUGCUGCAUGGUGGGGGUUGGAAAGCUUCGGCGGUUUUGGAUGGACUCGCGGCUUAUCAGCUUGUUGGUGGGGUAGUGGCUUACCAAGGCUUUGACGGGUAGCCGGCCUGAGAGGGCGACCGGCCACAUUGGGACUGAGAUACGGCCCAGACUCCUACGGGAGGCAGCAGUGGGGAAUAUUGCACAAUGGGCGGAAGCCUGAUGCAGCAACGCCGCGGGCGGGAUGACGGCCUUCGGGUUGUAAACCGCUUUCAGCAGGGGCGAAGCUUGUGGUGACGGUACCCGCAGAAGAAGCACCGGCUAACUACGUG